CCCCUCCCACAGUUCGCCAGGCGACUCAGUACCGUGGCGAACACGCAAGGGGAAGGUCACGUCGUGUACGCUUCGCGAUCGUGCGUUUUUCGACUCCGCAAGAGUCGUCUUUUUAGUGCCGCGAAAUGAGAUCUCGUCGCGUUUCUCGCCGUCCUCUCGUCGACCGAGAGUGAGUUUCCCCGCGGAAGGCAUCGCCGGGGAUGUCGAACCGAGUGGUCGCGUCCCGUCUGUGGGAAAUUAGCGUCAAUAUCGUGUCGAAAUUUUCGUCGCGUCGCGUCGUGUACAAGGUGACGGCCAUGUUGUGACGUAAUUAGUCACAACGGUCGUACUUUAGGCUUGGUAGUUGACCGUCGCCCGCGUUCGCGUCGUGUCUCGCCUCCGUUUGACACACAGUUGUCCCUUCCGUAUCACGCAUUCCUUGGCGAUAUACGAGUUUGCGAUCAUCGUGGAUCAUUCGCAAACGCCGUCGGGAAACAUAAGUGUCGUCGCGAGACGACCAGUAUCGUGUCGCCGCCAUUAAUUAUAUCUCGUCUUUUUAGUUCCGCGAGGCGAGAUCUCGUCGCGUUCCUCGCCGUCCUCUCGUCGGUCGAGAGCGAGUUUCCCCGCGGAAGGCAUCGCCGGGGAUGUCGAACCGAGUCGACAUUAAUCGGCGGACAAAGUGGUCGCGUCCCUCGUGCCCCUCGCCCCUCUCGUCCGUGAGAAAUUGACGCGAAAAUCGCUUGAGUUUUUCGUCGCGUCGCGCGUCGUGUGCACAGUGACUAUCAUGUGUGACGCAGUUCGUGUACAACCGUCGCCCGCGGUCGCGUCGUGUCGCGGUCCCCGUCUCCAUUCGAUCUCGUCGCGUCCCCGCGUCUUCUCGUCGGUCGAGUGACUCGAGUGUGAGUUUCCCCGCGGAAGGGGAUUCCAUCGCCGAGCAUGCCGAACCAAGCUGACGCCGUUAAUCGUGUCAAGGGCGUGUGGACGAGUGUGUGAACGCAACGAGGAAAGCAUCAUCGGUUCAUCGGCUUGGAACGCUGGAAUGAUGGUGAAAUUUAAUCAAGGACGAUAAUGUAGAAUCAUUAGUGCACAGCUUUAACAAAAUUUCCACUAUCGAGGAUUUAUCACCUUCAUCGACAAAUCGUGAAAUGGCAUGACAAACAAUUUCAAGUUUAGGACAUGGGACACAUGUACGAAAGGUGAUGUUGCUACCGCUUUUAAGAUACUUCUUGUUUUACGCAUCAGCGGAGACGUUUGUUGUUUCUCGCGACAUACGGUGCACGCGUCAUCCCGUCACGGAACGAGAUGAUUGCUGGCGCAUGCUCGACGAUAGGUUCGCACGAUAAUUCUCACAUCGAGCCUCUCUCUCGCAUAAGCCUCCCGCUGCUCGUCCGGCGGGAUCGCAUGGUCGCCGGUCAUUGUAUCUGUACUCUCCGGACCCUCACCCUUCCUAGACCGCCUUUCCUCCCCGGACGGCACGGACAACUGGCACGGCAUGGUGCAGCACCCGACGAUUUCGUGUUAGCUUAUUAUCUUAAUCUGCCACCGGGACAAAUAACAGGGUAUCGCUCUUCCCCCUUACUAGUUGGCAUUGCUGUGAUAUCUUCUAGUAUCGACGCUUUGAUACUUGGAUGUUUUAACGUGGAAAUUAUCCGAUUAAUAUUGAAGCGCUACUACAGGUGCAUUUUUAUCCAAGUGAACAAUUCAAGUUUAGUGCAGCUUUUGUCGUCAAAAUUUGGAUGGCGUAAAAUAAUGUUUAAUAAGAUAUUGUUUACAUUAAAAUACUAUUAGUUUAUUAGUCUAACAUCUUGCAAUCUAUAAAAUAUAAAAAAGUAUGUAAAAAAUUGUUUAAAGAACUCUCUCUGCUCAGGCCCGACACAAAAAGUGGCACAGGAACUAAUCUUUUCAGAUAAUAUGAGAACUUGAUUUUGAGAAUAAAUUUAUGAUUAGUAUGCGAUAUGUAGGCACUUCUAAAUAUUAAAACAUUUUUUAAUGUAUAAUAGUUUUCUUUAAAUAUUUUUUAAUAUAAACUUUCUCUAAAUAGUAGAGAAAAUUAGUGUAAAAAAUUAUUUUUAAAAAAUUUGAAAGAGAUGAGCCAUAUGAGAAGUUUUAAGUAAUUUAAUCGCCAACGAAAUAUCAAAAUUAUAAUCAUAUGAUAGAAUGGGAUUUAAAAAACGUUUUAGAAUAAAGAAAAUGAAGUUUUAACAUAUCAUUUUUGUGUAAGAGUAUGAAAUAUUUAUAAAAUGCAAUUUUCUUUAAAUAUGAAUAGUACGUCACACUAGUGAAAACGUGGCAAUAUCGUUGGUUAGUAAAAGUACGUGUAAUCUAAACUGUUUAUUAAAAAAGUGGUAAUGAGACCAAAAGCUCCUAUGAACAUGAAAGAUAUGAAAAGGGAGUCACAUAAUUUCCAUCUAUCUUUUUGAAGAAUCUUCGUUCAUGCUUAAAAAAUUGAAACUAACAAAAUUUACAAAAAAA